rnacentral:rRNA from 1 species
UACGUAGGGGGCUAGCGUUGUCCGGAAUCAUUGGGCGUAAAGCGCGUGUAGGCGGUCCGGUAAGUCCGCUGUGAAAGUCGGGGGCUCAACCCUCGAAUGCCGGUGGAUACUGUCGGGCUAGAGUGCGGAAGAGGCGAGUGGAAUUCCUGGUGUAGCGGUGAAAUGCGCAGAUAUCAGGAGGAACACCGGUGGCGAAGGCGGGUCUCUGGGCCGAUACUGACGCUGGAGGAGCGAAAGCGUGGGAGCAAACAGG